rnacentral:tRNA from 1 species
ACGGUUGUAGUUCAAUGGUAGAACGUUCGGUUGUGGUCCGAGAGACGCGAGUUCGAUUCUCGCCUUCCGUC